rnacentral:rRNA from 1 species
UACGUAGGCAGCAAGCGUUGUUCGGAGUUACUGGGCGUAAAGGGUGUGUAGGCGGUCUUCUAAGUUUGGUGUGAAAUCUCCCGGCUCAACUGGGAGGGUGCGCCGAAAACUGGGAGGCUAGAGUGCGGGAUGGGAGAGUGGAAUUCCUGGUGUAGCGGUGAAAUGCGUAGAUAUCGGGAGGAACACCAGCGGCGAAGGCGGC